rnacentral:rRNA from 1 species
UACGUAGGGUGCGAGCGUUAAUCGGAAUUACUGGGCGUAAAGCGUGCGCAGGCGGUUCGUUGUGUCGGUGGUGAAAGCCCCGGGCUUAACCCUGGGAAUGGCCAUGGAAACUGGCGAACUGGAGUGUGGCAGAGGGGGGUGGAAUUCCGCGUGUAGCAGUGAAAUGCGUAGAGAUGCGGAGGAACACCGAUGGCGAAGGCAGCCCCCUGGGCUAGCACUGACGCCUCAGGCACGAAAGCGUGGGGAGCAAACAGGA